UAAAGGGUUGCACAUUACCCAAGUAGCAACAACAUUUGCAAUUGGGCACAAAUAGGGAAGCUAUAUAAGUAAGACAAUAAGAAAAAAAUAAUGGGGUGCCUUUGCACAAAUCAGAACAGUAACUCAAAUUUCUUAAAAACAACCGUUCACAGGAUCAACUACUAGACUUGUUGAAACAGAUGAUGUUAUUUUUCUUUCAUUUGAUUUUUUGAUUCCCAUGUGGCUUCCUCGACUUGUUGACAAUGCCAUAAUAUUGUAACUGAAGCGACUUCCUUGUUUCUCAAUUUACGGACAUGCCUAUCAAGAAUAGCAACCUGAAUUUCUUCAUGUGAUAACUCUUCAUUGACCUCGAUAGUCUCAAUUGGCACGAUUGUGGAUAGAUCUCCAUCCACUUUCUUUAAUAUGGACACGUAGAACACUGGGUGCACUAAUGACAUUUCAGGGUGCAAUUCCAGCCUAUAAGCCACAUGUCAUAUCCUUUGAAUGACCCGAUACGACCCAACAUAUAUAGAACUCAACUUUCCUUUCUUCCAAAACCGCAUCUCUCCCUUCAUAGGGGAUACCCUCAAGAACACCCAAUCAACUACUUGGAACUCCAAUUCUCUUCAACACACGUCCUUAUAGGAUUUCUGGUGACUCUGAGUAGUUUUCAUCCUCUUCUAAAUGACUUUAACUUUUUCCAUAGCCCGGUGCAUGAGAUCUGGCCCUAUCAAUUCUGCCUCACCUACUUCAAACCACCCAAUCGGAGACCUAUACCUCCUUCGGUACAAGGCCUCAAAUAGGG
rnacentral:lncRNA from 1 species